rnacentral:tRNA from 1 species
CGUGUAGCCCAGUUGGAUAGAGCGUUUGGCUACGAACCAAAAGGUCGGGGGUUCGAAUCCCUCCAC